rnacentral:rRNA from 1 species
GACGAACGCUGGCGGCGUGCCUAAUACAUGCAAGUCGAGCGCAGGAAGCCGUCUGAACCCUUCGGGGGGACGACGGUGGAAUGAGCGGCGGACGGGUGAGUAACACGUAAAGAACCUGCCCAUAGGUCUGGGAUAACCACGAGAAAUCGGGGCUAAUACCGGAUGUGGCAUCGGACCGCAUGGUCCGAUGAUGAAAGGCGCUCAGGCGUAGCCCAUGGAUGGCUUUGCGGUGCAUUAGCUAGUUGGUGCGGUAACGGCCCACCAAGGCGACGUUGCAUAGCCGACCUGAGAGGGUUAUCGGCCACACUGGGACUGAGCCACGGCCCAGACUCCUAGGGGAGGCCGCAGUAGGAAAUCCUCCACCAUCGACGAAAGUCUGAUGGAGCAACGCAGCGUGAACGAUGAAGGCUUGCGAGUCGUAAAGUUCUGUUGUAAGGGAAGAACUAGUGCCGCAAGCAAUGGCGUCACCUUGACGGUACCUUGCGAGAAAGCCACGGCUAGCUACGUGCCAGCCGCCGCGGUAA